rnacentral:rRNA from 1 species
UACGAGGGGAGCUAGCGUUGUUCGGAUUCACUGGGCGUAAAGGGUGCGUAGGCGGUUGGGUAAGUCUGACGUGAAAUCUCCGGGCCUAACCCGGAAACUGCGUUGGAUACUAUCCGGCUAGAGGAAUGGAGGGGAGACUGGAAUACUUGGUGUAGCAGUGAAAUGCGUAGAUAUCAAGUGGAACACCAGUGGCGAAGGCGAGUCUCUGGACAUUUCCUGACGCUGAGGCACGAAAGCCAGGGGAGCAAACGGG